UAAUCAAAAGCCAUGUUUAGGCAAUGAAUGUAACAAUAACUGGAUGUGAUUUUAAAAUAGUUAUCAAUAUUUUGUAUGUGAAUUGUUUAAUGGACAAAAAAUAUAAUAAGUAAGUAUCACUAGAUUACAUACACAUUAGGUUUUACAUAGUUGCGUGUGGUCUGAUUAUAAAAUUUAUAGAAAUGCCUAUUGUUAUAAAUACUAUAAUUUUUGCUUCAAAUUCCCUGCCUAAGUUUUGUUCAGUACUUGUAGAAUUAAAAUUUAAAAAUAGCUGUACGGGAAUCGAUACCCUAACUAAAUAAAUAAAAAAAACAUGCAGAUAUUCUAACAGAAGAAACCUGUUAAAAUGAAUUACUAUUUUAUGUGUAGUUGUUAAUUAUAAAUAUAAUAAUGUUAUUUUAAUUUUUUAAUGCAAGUCUAGAAGAUGUAGGCCUUUCAUAUUUAAGUUGCUAUCUUGUUUAAAUGUUUAUUGUUAUAAGCAAAUACCAAGUGAUAACAAAAAUAUACAAUUAUAUACAAUAGGUAUUUUAUUUAUUUACUGCUUCAUGUAACUACCACUAUCUAUAUAGUUAGACUCAUAAAUGUUGAAACCAUCUGUUGCUAUUAUUUAAGUAAGUAUAUGGUAUUUCCGCUUCUGUAUUUUUAGUUAUCACUGUUGAAUGUACAUAGCCAAUAUAAAAUAGCACUUAAUACUAUAAGAAUUAUGCUGAGAUUAUUGUUAAUCUGUUUUGUAUCUUGAUGGGAAGUUUUGCAUUACCUAUUGACAUCCCAUGGGAUUGGAAAUUUGUCACAAUAAAAAUAUGUACUGCACGGCUAGUAUGGCCAUAAUAAGACAACAUGUGAAGUGACUGAUUAAAUUGAGUCACUUUUUGAUAUCAGUCUUAAAUGUUAGCAUAGGGUGUACAUGGGACUCAUUUUAUUUGUGUGAUUGGAUAUAAGCCACAGUGACACUGAAACUUUUCUGCUCUGUGGAAAUAUGUAUUUCAUUCGUUCUUUUUUUAGAAAAUCCCUCAUUUGUGGCUCUUGUUUGUAUUGUCUAUGGUUUUUUGACAAUUUAAAUGUCACCAAACGUCAAAUUUGAAGAAAAUUUUCGCUGUUUGGUGCGUUCGAGUGAAAUAUUUUGGUAAUAUUACCAUUGCAUUUUUGCAUUGCGCUACCCCAUGGACUCAUAUUGGCUCAUUAACUACUUUCUUGAGUUUCUUGGACAUCGUCACAUGAAAUAAUAUACGACCGAGCUUACUCCCGACCAAGCACGAUCAGAUUCCUUGGGAGUUCUUCGGCAGACGAUUUCUAUGCACCGGCUUCAUGAGACGAAGAACAAAACAGCAUGCCACCUGACUGAUGACCCACCCACCGUUUACCCGGCCCCAGGAGCUAGAAGGCCUUGAGACAAAAGCUCGGGCAGGAUCCUGACGGGCGCAACAGAAUAUCAUCUACGAUGCUUGUCCCACGGCCUGACUGAAUAAUAUUUAUAUAAUCAAUGGAAGGAAAAAACAGUAGAACAUUGAAAUUGGCUCGUAGGCAAGACGGAAGAUGGUCAAAACCGGUCAGAAAAUGAUGGCCUAGACACGGUUGGAGAGCUCUUGUUGGCAGUAACCACCUGAAGAUGGUCAGAUGACAUCAGCAACCUUGUGGUGAUACAAUGAACCGGAGCGGCACCGAACUGAAAAAGUUGAAAAACUUGGCAUACAUACUAUGAGACCUAUUUGAUGACUGAUAUAAGCCAAGUUCAGACAAAUUAUUGUGAUAGUUGAUAACUAAGAAUACCUAAUAUGCUUUUAUGGUGUGUGAAAUAGUAUACUUUUUAUAAUUUAUUAAUUAAAAGUUUAAUAAAUGUUUUACUUACCUAAA